rnacentral:rRNA from 1 species
UACGAAGGGGGCUAGCGUUGCUCGGAAUCACUGGGCGUAAAGCGCACGUAGGCGGAUCUUUUAAGUCGGGGGUGAAAUCCUGGAGCUCAACUCCAGAACUGCCCUCGAUACUGAGGACCUUGAGUCCGGGAGAGGUGAGUGGAACUGCGAGUGUAGAGGUGAAAUUCGUAGAUAUUCGCAAGAACACCAGUGGCGAAGGCGGCUCACUGGCCCGGUACUGACGCUGAGGUGCGAAAGCGUGGGGGAGCAAACAGG